CGGCCGCGCGGGGGCGAGAACUACCCCGGGCUGGAGCCGCAGUGCGAACCCGGGCCGCGCAGGACUGGGGUCACGUGACGCCCAGGAGCCUGUGGUGUCAUUUGGGGCCUCUAGUCAGGAACGGCUUGAACCCGAAAGAACGACCUGAAACUACAUAUCCCAGAAUGCCAACUCAUCCGGAUAGCCGAAGGUGACAGAACUACAAAUCCCAGCAUCCUGUGCGCUUUCUAGGCUCGAGGCCCGUGCCCGGCUAUGUGGAGUGCUUUAGUUCAUGGAGGAGCUGGGAGACUUCUGUCUGUUUUUUCUGUGGAGGCUUCGGCUCCAGAUGGAGACUGAAGGACUAGGAAAGUCCUGGGCCUCUCUUUUAGCCCGUUCCUACCCACAGUACUGCCUCGGAGGACACUGUCGGGCCUUUGCAAUCUAACCACUAAAUUUUAACAAGGAAAUUAAACCCACAGGAGAAAAACUGAACAUGUUUGUUGAAACAUUGAGGAGUAUAAAUGGCUGCUAUGGAAGGAAAUGGAUUAUGCUAUUAAUUCACAGUACGUUCAGAAAAGCAAUGGCCAACACAGAAACCAGACUGGCAGAAGUACAGAUUCAUGUCAGGGUGAGUAUGGUGGCUGGCCUUAUGUGAACAAUGUGAAAGUGGAGGCCAAAUGGACCCUUUCCUCCCCAGCUUGCUUUUGGUCACGGAGUUUCAUCACAGCAAGAGCAACUGUAACUAAGAUAGAGAGGUA